GCUAACGUGGCAGAGCACGGUAAUUGCUAAAGACCUAAGCCCUUUUAAUCAGAGGUUCAAUUCCUCUCAUUAGCU
rnacentral:tRNA from 1 species